rnacentral:tRNA from 1 species
GGCCGUCCGCCCGACCGGCUCAGGGACCCACCUGCGCGGCAUCCAUCAACGAGACCCGCUCGCAGGGAGUUACGCGGGUUCGAUUCCCGCCACGGCCUCCA